UUCGCAAUGCCCGAAAGGGUGAACGAGCGACGCCGCGUGCGGGAUGAAGGGUUUCGGCUUGUAAACCGCUUUUCUUUGGGAAGAAGGCCUGUCUCGUGCAGAUGGGCUCGACGGUACCAGAGGAAUAAGCCUCGGCUAACUCCGUGCCAGCAGCCGCGGUAAGACGGAGGAGGCAAGCGUUGUUCGGAAUUAUUGGGCGUAAAGGGCGCGUAGGCGGAUGGGAACGUCGGUCUUUGAAAGCCCCCGGCUCAACCGGGGAAGCGGAGCCGAAACGACCGAUCUGGAGGGACGUAGGGGGACCUGGAACUUCCGGUGGAGCGGUGAAAUGCGUUGAGAUCGGAAGGAACGCCCGUGGCGAAAGCGAGGUCCUGGACGUCUGCUGACGCUGAGACGCGAAAGCUAGGGGAGCAAACGGGAUUAGAUACCCCGGUAGUCCUAGCCGUAAACGAUGGGCACUAAGUAGAGGGGUUUU
rnacentral:rRNA from 1 species